rnacentral:rRNA from 1 species
GACGAACGCUGGCGGCGUGCUUAACACAUGCAAGUCGAACGGAGUGGCGAACGGGUGAGUAACACGUGGGUGACCUGCCCUGCACUUCGGGCUGAGCCUGGGAAACUGGGUCUAAUACCGGAUAGUGUGGGAUGGGCACGCGGCCUAUCAGCUUGUUGGGGGGGGAAUGGCCUACAAAGGCGGCGUAGGGUAGCCGGCCUGAGAGGGUGGACGGCCACAUUGUGACUGAGACACGGCCCAGACUCGUACGGGAGGCAGCAGUGGGGAAUAUUGCACAAUGGGCGGAAGCCUGAGGCAGCGACGCCGCGUGGGGGAUGACGGACUUCGGGUUGAGAACUCCUUUCACCAUCUACGCGGGAGAUGGAGAAGAAGCACCGGCUAACUACGUGCCAGCCGCCGCGGUAAUUC